GAAGGUCCCAAGCGUUGUUCGGUAUCACUGGGCGUAAAGGGAGCGUAGGCGGCGCGGUAAGUCAGAUGUGAAAUCCCGGGGCUCAACCCCGGAACUGCAUCCGAUACUGCCGUGCUUGAGGGUUGGAGAGGUAGCUGGAAUUAUCGGUGUAGCAGUGAAAUGCGUGGAUAUCGAUAGGAACACUCGAGGCGAAGGCGAGCUACUGGACAACAUCUGACGCUGAGGCUCGAAGGCUAGGGGAGCAAAAGGGAUUAGAUACCCCUGUAGUCCUAGCAGUAAACGGUGUGCGCUUGGUGUGAGGGGAUUCGACCCCCCUUGUGCCGGAGCUAACGCGUUAAGCGCGCCGCCUGGGAAGUACGGCCGCAAGGCUA
rnacentral:rRNA from 1 species